UUAUCUUUUCUAGGAACUCCUUUCCUUCUAAAUCUUUUUCUUACUCAUUAGGAGGAUGAUGUCAAAAGCAGCAUCAUUCGACUGCGUGAGAAUAUGGAUGUGGAGAUAAAUAAUAUCAUGGUUUGCCAUGCAGUUGGUUCUGCAUGAUCUUAAGUUGAAUUUAACAUCAUGAGACUGCAUGUUAGAUCUGCAUCUUGUUUUUGCUGCAUGGAGGAUGGAAAUUCUGCUCGAGAUUGUUCAGUUUUAGUGAAAGUGGUGAACUAAACUUGAUAAUGUAGACUGAGGAGAUCUAGUCAAUGUGGGAGGAUUAAAUUUAUAUGAUGAUCUGAACCAUUCUUUCGAUCUGGGACAAUCAUGAAUGGGUCAUAGAACAAAAUUAUAGUGAUUGUACAGUCUCAAUCAUUUGUUGGUAUGUUACCCUUACCUGCAAUUUCCUAUUUUUGACUUUAUUAUAGACAAGAUCUUGUAAAACUCGGUUCCCUAAUUUCUGGCUUCUACGAAAUGACUGAAGUGAACUGAAUGCCGACCAAAUACAUACUCAUACUUUCGCUUUAUAAAUUCAAGGCAAGUUACAUUACUGAAGUGAAAGUGAACUUGACAUAUCUGAAUGACAAAUUUUGUGUA